AUGUGAAUGUUGACAUUCACCGGUGAAAGUCGACAUUCUCCAGAUUUCGGUGUUUCACUGUAACAUAUACACGUCUAAUAACAAGAUAUAGACUAAAAGCGAAUGCUUUCUUUCAUUUCUUCAAUGAUACUCAUUCUACGAAAAUUUUGUCUUCUGCUAACAUUUUUGAAAAAAUUUAUUUCUAUUACGAAAAUAGACUGAAAGUUAUAUUAGAAGUUAUAUCUAGUAGAUACCUCAUAAAUAUUAAUAAAUUCAAGAUUUAUACUAUGGAUGCGGCAAAACUGUACGUUCAGUUAUAUAGCUGAUAUCCAUUGACGCCAACACUCCAUAAUCUUAUACAUGGGCCAAUAGUGAUCGAAAAUGCUUUAAUGUCAAUCGGUCAUUUAUCAGAGGAGGCAGCAGAAAAAUAUCGAUUGCAGCAUGAAGAAAAUGUAGUAGACAAGCUUUUAGGCUGAUAUCUUCUCUAAGAAAACCAGUAAUUAAAAAAUCGAGCUCUUAUACUGAGGAGAGUUUGGAGAUGUUUCUUCAGGAAGAAGAAGAAGAAGGACAAGAAAACGAUAAAAAUGAGGAAGAUGAAGAAGAAAUGGUUCAGGGAUCAUCAAGUUCCAAAAAAGUUCCAAAUGUGUAUUUACAUGAGUUAUUAAAAAUCGAAACGCACUAAAGGCUAGUGGAGGAGUAGCUAUAUCAGUAAACAACUCACUGUUUGGCGAAGAAAUCCAUAUUAACUCAAACAUGGAGGUAACUAUGAUUAAAAUACAUUCUUCUGCGAAAUUACAUGUUUGUCAUAUAUAUUUACCUAAUAGCUACCACCUAAAUAAAACCGAACUAAAUAAU